GCAGUGUGCUGGGCUCCCUCCUGAAGCCAUGGGAUUCCCAGGGGACCCUGCAGUGCGGUAGGCGAGCUAACUUCUCCCACCAAGUGUUCCUGAUCCAGACAACCGAACUGGGCUUUGUGGGCCAACUAAGUCCUGCCCUAGCAGACCUCCAGAGGUGGUUCCAAGUCAACAAUAAUGGACCACCAAGAGCUUCCUCACUGCCAGAGAGCCAAGGGGUGGAGGACGAACAACUCUGGGCCAGUGAUGCUAUUUCCAGGGAUGAAGCUAGGAAUUCCAGUGGGGUGGGGCUCAUCAAUCCUACUGCCUGCCUCCACCUAGGGGACAUCCUCCUAUUUUUAAUCACAGUGGAGCACUACCCCCAGUAUGACAGAGACAACCUAUACAACACUAAUGCUGGUUUUGACUGGGGUCCCUUCCGAGACCUUGCUGUGGACAUGACUUUCAGAGGAACAUCUCCAUCACUGUUUUUUGUGGUCUUCCAUGAACCAGGAGUGUAUGCUUUCAGACUAAGCAGCAAUCCUC
rnacentral:lncRNA from 1 species